rnacentral:rRNA from 1 species
GACGAACGCUGGCGGCAGGCCUAACACAUGCAAGUCGAACGAGUGGCGGACGGGUGAGUAAUGUCUGGGAAACUGCCCGAUGGAGGGGGAUAACUACUGGAAACGGUAGCUAAUACCGCAUACCAUCGGAUGUGCCCAGAUGGGAUUAGCUGGUAGGUGGGGUAACGGCUCACCUAGUCGACGAUCCCUAGCUGGUCUGAGAGGAUGACCAGCCACACGUGAACUUGGACACGGUCCAGACUCCUACGGUAGUCAACAUUGGGGAAUAUUGCACAAUGGGCGCAAGCCUGAUGCAGCCAUGCCGCGUGUAUGAAGAAGGCCUGCGGGUUGUAAAGUACUUUCAGCGAGGAGGCGUUACUCGCAGAAGAAGCACCGGCUAACUCCGUGCCAGCAGCCGCGGUAAUUC